GAUGAACGCUAGCGGCAGGCUUAACACAUGCAAGUCGAGGGGCAACACGGGUAGCAAUACCUGGUGGCGACCGGCGCAAGGGUGCGUAACGCGUGAGCAACAUGCCCUAUACAGGGGGAUAAUCCAGGGAAACUUGGUCUAAUAUCCCAUAGUAUUUAGAGGUGGCAUCACCACUAAAUUAAAGCUUCGGUGGUAUAGGAUUGGCUCGCGUGACAUUAGCUGGAUGGUGGGGUAACGGCUCACCAUGGCGAUGAUGUCUAGGGGUUCUGAGAGGAAGACCCCCCAACUGGGACUGAGACACGGCCCAGACUCCUACGGGAGCAGCAGUGAGGAAUAUUGGACAAUGGAUGGAAAUCUGAUCCAGCCAUGCCGCGUGCAGGAAGACGGCCCUAUGGGUUGUAAACUGCUUUUAUAUGGGAGCAAUAAGGUUUACGCGUAGACCGAUGAGAGUACCAUAUGAAUAAGCAUCGGCUAACU
rnacentral:rRNA from 1 species